rnacentral:rRNA from 1 species
GACGAACGCUGGCGGCGUGCUUAACACAUGCAAGUCGAACGGUGAAGCUCCAGCUUGCUGGAGUGGAUCAGUGGCGAACGGAUGAGUAACGCGUGAGCAACCUGCCCCUGACUCUGGAAUAAGCGCUGGACACGGCGUCUAAUACUGGAUAUGAGAAGGGUCCGCAUGGACACUUUCUGGAAAGUUUUUCGGUUGGGGAUGGGCGCGCGGCCUGUCAGGUUGUUGGUGGGGUAAGGGCGCACCAAGGCGACGACGGGUGGCCGGCCUGAGAGGGCGAGCGGCCACACUGGGACUGAGACACGGCCCAGACUCCUACGGGAGGGAGCAGUGGGGAAUAUUGCACAAUGGGCGAAAGCCGUAUGCAGCGACGCCGCGUGAGGGAUGACGGCCUUCGGGUUGUAAACCUCUUUCAGCAGGGAAGAAGCGAAAGUGACGGUACCUGCAGAAGAAGCACCGGCUAACUACGUG